AAAAUAUCUAUCCUCCCUCUAAGCCUAGGUAGAAAACUAAGUUAUAAGACAAGGAUGAACACGAUAUAUGGUACUUUUUAAAAUCUGGUUCCCAAAGAAAUAAAACAUUUUAAAAAGAAUUUUAAAAUAAUGUAUUUAGCUUAUGCUGAGUAUAUAUUAGUGAGCAACUAAUUUAAAAAUAUUUAAGGAAUAAUAGUCCCCUCUGUUAUAAUAAAUUACUAUUGACCUAAUUUAUUUAUUAAGCUUCUCUUCUUAUUUGGGUAAUUAAUUCUAAGAAUUAGAACUUGUUUACACUAGUAAAUAUACUUUUAUUAUUUUCUUACUUAAAUAAGUUUUAUCAAUUUUAAAUUAAAUAUAAACUAAAUAACUUGAGAUUCUCCAAACUGUUUAACAAAGACAUAGUAAGACUGUGUCUUAUGUAUCUGCCCAAUGAAUAAUUUUUUAUGGCUUUAAAGUAGCGCAAUAAUUAGUUUAUUAAUUGUAAACCUGUAUGAAGCUAGCAUUGGUUAAUCAUGUUUAUUCUUAUCUGUUGAAUCUUAGUUAUCAGUACAAACGCUGAUAUCGCCCCCCGAAGACGAUAAGACCCUAAGACCUUCACCUUGUUUGGCUGGGAUAGCCUACUUAAUAUAAUAAAGAAACCUUAAUUAUUACGAACCAAUUAUUUUGCUAUACAUAGGUACCUUAGGGAUAACAGCGCGUAAUACUUUUAGAGCUCUUAUUUAAAAGAUAUUCGUGACCUCGAUGUUGAAUUAAGUAAUAUAGUGCUGCAGAAGGUGCUAUUUUAAGUCUGUUCGACU
rnacentral:rRNA from 1 species